rnacentral:rRNA from 1 species
UCAGGGAGGAAUAAAAUGACGUGUACCUGAAGAAUAAGCAUCGGCUAACUCCGUGCCAGCAGCCGCGGUAAGACGGAGGAUGCAAGUGUUAUCCGGAAUCACUGGGCGUAAAGCGUCUGUAGGUGGUUUAAUAAGUCAACUGUUAAAUCUUGAUGGCUCAACCUCAAAUCUGCAGUAGAAACUAGGAGACUUGAGUAUAGUAGGGGUAGAGGGAAUUUCCAGUGGAGCGGUGAAAUGCGUAGAUAUUGG